rnacentral:rRNA from 1 species
UACGUAGGGUGCAAGCGUUUGUCCGGAAUUAUUGGGCGUAAAGAGCUCGUAGGCGGUUCGUCACGUCGGCUGUGAAAUCCCGAGGCUCAACCUCGGGUCUGCAGUCGAUACGGGCGGACUUGAGUACUGCAGGGGAGACUGGAAUUCCUGGUGUAGCGGUGAAAUGCGCAGAUAUCAGGAGGAACACCGGUGGCGAAGGCGGGUCUCUGGGCAGUAACUGACGCUGAGGAGCGAAAGCGUGGGGAGCGAACAGG